rnacentral:sRNA from 1 species
GGAAGGAUCAUUAUUGAAUGAACUUGGUGUGGUUGUUGCUGGCCCUCUCGGGGGCAUGUGCACACCCACCAUCCUCAUCUCUCCACCUGUGCACCUCUUGUAGACCUGGAUUGACUUUCCGAGGCAACUCGGUCGGGAAGAUUGCUGCGCUCUGUGAGCCAGCUUUCUUUGCAUGUCCAGGCCUAUGUUUUUCAUAUACCCCUAUAGAAUGUAACAGAAUGUAUCAUUGGGCCUUGUGCCUAUAAACCUUAUACAACUUUCAGCAACGGAUCUCUUGGCUCUCGCAUCGAUGAAGAACGCAGCGAAAUGCGAUAAGUAAUGUGAAUUGCAGAAUUCAGUGAAUCAUCGAAUCUUUGAACGCACCUUGCGCUCCUUGGUAUUCCGAGGAGCAUGCCUGUUUGAGUGUCAUUAAAUUCUCAACCUUAUUAACUUUUGUUGAUAAUGGAUUGGAUUGUGGGGGUUUCUUUUGCUGGCUUCUUCACAGAGAUCAGCUCCCCUUAAAUGCAUUAGCUGGUGCCCCGCGUGGACCAUCUAUUGGUGUGAUAAUUAUCUACGCCGUGGAUGUCUGCAAUCAUAUGGGUUUUGCACUGCUUCUAACCGUCUGUUUCAUUCGGACAAUACAUGACAAUUUGACCUCAAAUCAGGUAGGACUACCCGCUGAACUUAAGCAUAUCAAUAAGCGGAGGAAAAGAAACU